rnacentral:rRNA from 1 species
CGCCCUUAGAGUUUGAUCCUGGCUCAGAUUGAACGCUGGCGGCAGGCUUAACACAUGCAAGUCGAGCGGGGAAGGGUAGCUUGCUACCUGACCUAGCGGCGGACGGGUGAGUAAUGCUUAGGAAUCUGCCUAUUAGUGGGGGACAACAUUCCGAAAGGAAUGCUAAUACCGCAUACGCCCUACGGGGGAAAGCAGGGGAUCUUCGGACCUUGCGCUAAUAGAUGAGCCUAAGUCAGAUUAGCUAGUUGGUGGGGUAAAGGCCUACCAAGGCGACGAUCUGUAGCGGGUCUGAGAGGAUGAUCCGCCACACUGGGACUGAGACACGGCCCAGACUCCUACGGGAGGCAGCAGUGGGGAAUAUUGGACAAUGGGCGAAAGCCUGAUCCAGCCAUGCCGCGUGUGUGAAGAAGGCCUUUUGGUUGUAAAGCACUUUAAGCGAGGAGGAGGCUACUGAGAUUAAUACUCUUGGAUAGUGGACGUUACUCGCAGAAUAAGCACCGGCUAACUCUGUGCCAGCAGCCGCGGUAAUACAGAGGGUGCGAGCGUUAAUCGGAUUUACUGGGCGUAAAGCGUGCGUAGGCGGCUUUUUAAGUCGGAUGUGAAAUCCCUGAGCUUAACUUAGGAAUUGCAUUCGAUACUGGGAAGCUAGAGUAUGGGAGAGGAUGGUAGAAUUCCAGGUGUAGCGGUGAAAUGCGUAGAGAUCUGGAGGAAUACCGAUGGCGAAGGCAGCCAUCUGGCCUAAUACUGACGCUGAGGUACGAAAGCAUGGGGAGCAAACAGGAUUAGAUACCCUGGUAGUCAAGGG